rnacentral:tRNA from 1 species
GGAGGGGUAUCGAAGUGGUCAUAACGAGCUGGUCUCGAAAACCAAGCGUUACGCAAGUAGCACGUGGGUUCAAAUCCCACCCCCUCCGCCA